GACGAACGCUGGCGGCGUGCUUAACACAUGCAAGUCGAACGGAAAGGCCCUGCCUAUGUGGGGUGCUCGAGUGGCGAACGGGUGAGUAACACGUGAGUAACCUGUCCUUGCCUUUGGGAUAACUUCAGGACACUGGGGCUAAUACCGGAUAGGAGCUACUGCUGCUUGGUGGGGGUGGGAAAGUUUCGGCGGUUGGGGUUGGACUCGCGGCUUAUCGGCUUGAUGGUUGGGUAGUGGAUUAGCAAGGCCUUGACCGGUAGCCGGGCUGGGAGGGUGACCGGCCACAUUGCGCCUGAGAUGCGGCCCGGACCCCUACCGGAGGCAGGGGAGGAGUGUAGUGCACUAUGGGCGGGGCGCUGGUGCAGCACCGCAGCGUGGCGGAUGACGGGCAGCCGGUUGUGUACCACUUUCCUCUGUGACGAAGCGUGAAUGACGGUAAUGGGUAAAGAAGCACCGGCUAACUACGUG
rnacentral:rRNA from 1 species